UCGGAGAUGUUACAAUGGACAAUCCGCAGCGAAGUCCUCUUGGUCGACCUGUCGACCGUGGAGCGCGUUCAGAGACUAGAUGUUCGUGGGCUGCUCUUCUCGAGCGGCUUAAGGUAUAGUCCAUCCCGAUCCGAAAGGGUCCUGAGGGGUUAAAUGUAGAUGUUCUGGGCCGCACGCGCGCUACACUGACAGAGCCAGCGAGUCUAUCACCUUGGCCGGAAGGUCCGGGUAAUCUUGUGAAACU
rnacentral:rRNA from 1 species